rnacentral:lncRNA from 1 species
UUCCUCCUUUUCAUGCUGUACAUUCUUUUGCAGCAUUAGAAAUUCGAUUCCCAUUAUCGUGGAUUAACUUCCUUAUUUGUUCAAUCCUUUUGUCUUUCAUCAUAUAGUUCUCUGGGUCCUGUAUUCUUGACACAGGACUUGCAAAACACACUGGCUAUGCUGACCAAGGACCUUUCCAGCUCCAAAGCCACUGACUCACGCUCCUGAGCAGCUGGUUUCCCACAGGAAAGGAGUCAGAAGUACCAUGAUGAGAAGGAGAGAAAAAGAUGCCUUGUGUCCACUACCUCCUCCAUAAUGAUCAAGCUUGGGCGAGUUAGAGAUGCUGUCUUUCCCAGCCUGUGGGCUGAGAUAUCAAACUCCAGGAAGAAUGGUUUGGAAGCUGUGGGUUUAGAUCCCCAGUACUGCUCCAUUCAGCAAUGAAUUCUGACUACUGCCAAACACAUGUGAAGAAAAUUUCCCUGCAUGUGAGAAAAAUUGAUGAAAACAGAGGCCAUGGAUUAGAAGGAGUAUGAGGAGGAGUAUAUCUGAGGGCUUGCAGCAAGGAAAGAGAUGGGAGAAAUGUUGUAAUUAAAAUGUAACAAUAAAAUAGAUCCAAGCAGUAAGCA